UUUCACUCUUACUUUUAUUAUAUAUUGUAUAUGUUUAUAUGAUGUAGUAGAAAAUAUCAUUUAUAUUUCAUCGCAGAUAAAGAGUGAUGGGUUCCAACAUACACACUGAUGUAACCAGGCUGGAUGCAACGAUGACAGACCAGACUGAAACACCACGAGAAGAGGUAUAUAGCUAAUUCUUCUUUGUUUGUGUCUUAUAUAUGAUAAUACAAAAUGUUUAUAUUUUACAUAUUAUUAUUUUUCAGAAUAUAGGAGACAUAGAUAUGGAUUUUGGUGAUGCACAAAAAGAAUGCAUCGACAAGGGUUCUGAAGCGGCGACGCUGAAAGGGGCCGAAAACUCACCGAGUUUUCCAAAACAAAAUGAUGUGGGGGCGGUGAUAUCUCAUAAAAAACCAAAAAAGAAUGCCAAUGUAAAUGUUAUUGCACAAGGUAUUAUUUUCAAUGUUAUUAUCGAUCUUUCCUUCGACAUAUUGUUUU
rnacentral:lncRNA from 1 species